UACGGAGGGAGCUAGCGUUAUUCGGAAUUACUGGGCGUAAAGCGCACAGUAGGCGGCUUUGUAAGUUAGAGGUGAAAGCCUGGAGCUCAACUCCAGAAUUGCCUUUAAGACUGCAUCGCUUGAAUCCAGGAGAGGUGAGUGGAAUUCCGAGUGUAGAGGUGAAAUUCGUAGAUAUUCGGAAGAACACCAGUGGCGAAGGCGGCUCAC
rnacentral:rRNA from 1 species